rnacentral:rRNA from 1 species
GACGAACGCUGGCGGCGUGCUUAACACAUGCAAGUCGAACGGAAAGGCCCUGCUUUUGUGGGGUGCUCGAGUGGCGAGCGGGUGAGUAACACGUGAGUAACCUGCCCUUGACUUUGGGAUAACUUCAGGAAACUGGGGCUAAUACCGGAUAGGAGCUCCUGCUGCAUGGUGGGGGUUGGAAAGUUUCGGCGGUUGGGGAUGGACUCGCGGCUUAUCAGCUUGUUGGUGGGGUAGUGGCUUACCAAGGCUUUGACGGGUAGCCGGCCUGAGAGGGUGACCGGCCACAUUGGGACUGAGAUACGGCCCAGACUCCUACGGGAGGCAGCAGUGGGGAAUAUUGCACAAUGGGCGGAAGCCUGAUGCAGCGACGCCGCGUGCGGGAUGACGGCCUUCGGGUUGUAAACCGCUUUCGCCUGUGACGAAGCGUGAGUGACGGUAAUGGGUAAAGAAGCACCGGCUAACUACGUG